CUCCCUUUAUACUAUACUGCUUAGAAGUUUUAUCAAGAUUUGAUGAUAAAUAUGUAUCCUGUGUAGAUACUUUUGAUAUUGAUGGAGGGAAGGGAUCUUUAAGGAGCAUAUGAUAUGAAUGCCUGCCCUUUGAAGAGUGUCAAGUGCUAUAAAAACCAGAGGCGCAUUCAUCUCCAUCCCCGAUCGAAGGGUGGUUUAUGUGAGGCUGCACCUGAUGAAGACGAUGAUGAAGAAUUCUGUUUCUGCAGUGCUUUAUGUCUUCAAAAGCAGUUCCAGCGACCUAAUCUUAUUGCAUCUGCCCCCAUUAGGAUCAGAAAAGCAGCCUUUUGAUAGAAAGAAGACACACCACAGAGAUGCUGAAUGUGUGCUGACCCUCACGUGGGGACCGUUUUCCUGUGGAAGCAGCAAUAAUCAUAAUCAUAAUGCUUGCUUGAACUUGGCACUUCUCUUCAGUGUAGAGCCUGAAAUUACCCGCUGAUGCCUUUGGCGUGGCAGUGGGCUGCUUGAACAGAGGAGAGGCUGGGGACAGCAAAGUGUGUUAUUGUGGAGAAAUUCUCGAAGCUCUCAGGGUUGUGAAUGACUUUGGUGAAUAAGCCAACCUGGGGCAAUUCAAUAGGCAGGGUGUUAAGUAGGAAGCUGUGUCAUUGUUUCUAUAGAAGGGGUAGGCUGGAGAUCUCUCAGGGGCUGUGUUGUGUUCAGGCCACUGGGCAGAAAGGCCCAUAGGAGGACCAUGCCAAAGCUUUAGACGUAAACAAACAAAACCCUACUUCUCAGGGACCCCAGGAAUGACAGAAACCUAGUUUCAUAGAGGAUUGGGAGCAUUGAUAAAAAUGAAUAACUCUUUGCCUUCUUUCCCCAUAAACAAUGUCACACACAAACAGGAUUCUCAGGUGUCGAUUUUCUUUGGUGUAAAUGUAACCCAUUUCUAUGGUGAUCUCCAUUAUGGAGUAAUGCAGUGUUUUCUCCCAUGCAAAAAAAGAGAAAUAAUGAGAAUUUAGGAGACUUGAAGGGAACUCUUCUUCGUUGUAUUUUUUUUUUUUUUUGACAACUGAUAGGAUACACACA